CUUAACACUACGGGCGGUCGAACGUAAACCCGUUUUAUCCGCUAAGUAUAUCUUCUGGUUACCGUAACGCGUUCAAGACUAAUACUCGAGACUCGAGACCUCGUGAACUGCUAAAACAGUCGGCACGGUUUCACGGAUUGUAAAAUACGUGCGAUCAAUCGACAGUGCUGCCAACAUGUCAGUGAUCCUUUGUGAAAAAUCGAACGACAUAACAGGAACGAUCGCACAAAUCUAUUACAUAAUUCGGGAAAAUAUAACAUUUAUAUGAUGUUUCUGAUUAUUCUGUUUAAUUAUUUCAAAAAUGUUAGAACAUAAAAAGCAUAAAGAACGCAUGUUUUGAAUGCUGUAACUUGACGACAUUGACUGACGUCAUACAACGUCAAGCGCUGCAUUCUUGGAAAUGUAGGCGCAGGCUUCAUAGUUGACCGCGAUAUCUUCUAAUAGGCGCCAUUUUCGAAUUCAAUUAGACAAUCAUAUUUAGAUAUGUAUAGAUAUAUUUUUUUAGUAUGUUAUAAAUGAGGUAUAAAUUUUUGUCUAGUAUUUAUAUAUUCAUACUUUUAAAGGAAUUGACAAUUUUAAUAUAAAAUUAAUUGUAUGUUGAUGAAAAAUUAGUCUUCCGUCAACAGAUAAUAAUAAACAUUUGAAAAUGGAUUCAAUAGCUAAGUGUAGAUCUUUAUUUUCGACAUAUGUAUCAACAACGACCCUAUAAUAAAAUUCUAAUAAUACCGAUAUUUGAAAUUCGGUAUUGUUAUUAGAAUUAGAGCAAUCAACAAUUACCGUUAGUAAUAAAGAACUUAUACCAUAUUAUAUAUCUGUUUAUAAUAAAUAUAAAAUGUUCCAGCAAAAUUAUAAGUAAACGUGUGCAAUAUACAUUGGUAAGAGAUAAAAUCGUAAUAUUACUGCAGAAGAUGUGGAGAAUUUUAAUAACGAAAUUACAAAGAUAGUAAAUACAUUUUAAUUA